rnacentral:rRNA from 1 species
GUUAUAUGGUCAAGCGAAUAAGCGCACACGGUGGAUGCCUUGGCGGUCAGAGGCGAUGAAGGACGUGGCAGCCUGCGAAAAGUAUCGGGGAGCUGGCAACAAGCUUUGAUCCGGUAAUGUCCGAAUGGGGAAACCCACCCGCUUGCGGGUAUCCUGCAGUGAAUACAUAGCUGCUGGAAGCGAACCUGGUGAACUGAAAUAUCUAAGUAACCAGAGGAAAAGAAAUCAACCGAGAUUCCCUGAGUAGCGACGAGCGAACGGGGACUAGCCCUUAAGCUGGAAUGGUUCUAGAAAAACAGCCUGGAACGGCUGGCCAUAGAAGGUGAUAGCCCUGUAUUUAAAAGGGCCACUCCAGUGAAGACGAGUAGGGCGGGGCACGUGAAACCCUGUCUGAACAUGGGGGGACCAUCCUCCAAGGCUAAAUACUACUGACCGACCGAUAGUGAACCAGUACCGUGAGGGAAAGGCGAAAAGAACCCCGGAGAGGGGAGUGAAAUAGAUCCUGAAACCGUGUGCGUACAAGCAGUAGGAGCUCGAAAGAGUGACUGCGUACCUUUUGUAUAAUGGGUCAGCGACUUACUGUUCGUGGCAAGCUUAACCGUAUAGGGGAGGCGAAGGGAAACCGAGUCUGAUAAGGGCGCAUAGUCGCGGGCAGUAGACCCGAAACCGGGUGAUCUAGUCAUGGCCAGGGUGAAGGUGCCGUAACAGGUACUGGAGGCCCGAACCCACGUCUGUUGCAAAAGACGGGGAUGAGCUGUGAUUAGGAGUGAAAAGCUAAUCGAACCCGGAGAUAGCUGGUUCUCCUCGAAAGCUAUUUAGGUAGCGCCUCAUAUGUAUCCUCUCGGGG